AUUGAACGCUGGCGGCAUGCCUUACACAUGCAAGUCGAACGGCAGCGGGGACUUCGGUCCGCCGGCGAGUGGCGAACGGGUGAGUAACGUAUCGGAACGUACCUUUCAGUGGGGGAUAACGUAGCGAAAGUUACGCUAAUACCGCAUAUUCUGUGAGCAGGAAAGCAGGGGAUCGCAAGACCUUGCGCUGAUUGAGCGGCCGAUAUCAGAUUAGCUAGUUGGUGAGGUAAAGGCUCACCAAGGCGACGAUCUGUAGCGGGUCUGAGAGGAUGAUCCGCCACACUGGAACUGAGACACGGUCCAGACUCCUACGGGAGGCAGCAGUGGGGAAUUUUGGACAAUGGGGGCAACCCUGAUCCAGCCAUGCCGCGUGAGUGAAGAAGGCCUCGGUUG
rnacentral:rRNA from 1 species